rnacentral:rRNA from 1 species
CACGUAGGGUGCGAGCGUUGUCCGGAAUUAUUGGGCGUAAAGAGCUCGUAGGCGGCUCAGUAAGUCAGGUGUGAAAACUCCAGGCUCAACCUGGAGACGCCACUUGAUACUGCUGUGGCUAGAGUCCGGUAGGGGAGCAUGGAAUUCCUGGUGUAGCGGUGAAAUGCGCAGAUAUCAGGAAGAAUAUCCGUGGCGAAGGCGGCUCUCUGGUACGGCACUGACGCUGAGACGCGAAAGCGUGGGGAGCGAACAGG